AAUGAAGCUGUACAAUUUUAUUUGUAAUGUUCUUGUAUGAGUUUACUCUGUAUACAAUAGUUUGUGAAACUCCAUGGCCAGUAAAACAAACAUCUUACUCACUUAAAGAGAUAGGGCCAACAAAUCUAAAAGCUAAAUAAAAGCACAAGUGUUAAACAAGAUGAAACAGGAGAUAAUAUUUGUAAAUAUUAAAGCAAUGUGUUUUAAUGUCCCUUUGAACUCAUGUUCCUUUGCAGCUUUCUUGGAGACAGCCCUGACACUUGUAACUAGAGAGCUGAAAAGAUCUGUUACCUGACUUUAUUUUAUUUUUUGAGACAGAGUCUCGCUCUGUUGCUCAGGCUGGAGUGCAGUGGUGUGAUCUUUCCUCGCUGCAACCUCCGCCUCCCAGGUACAAGUGAUUCUCCUGCCUCAGCCUGCUGUGUAGCUGGAAUUACAGAUGCAUGCACCACCACGCCUGGCUAAUUUUUGUAUUUUUAGCCAAGAUGGGGUUUCGCCAUGUUGGCCAGGCUGGUCUUGAACUCCUGACCUCAGGUGAUCUGCCCACCUCGGCCUCCCAAAGUGCUGGGAUUACAGGCGUGAGCCACCGUGCCUGGCCGUAGAGGAAUCUUUUAACACCCAUGAAAGCCGGAAGUGGGGCCUGUGAGAGAGAGGAAAUGGGUGAAAGUGCUCAGAAGCAAAGUCAAAACCAAGAGAAGGGACUACAGGUUUAUUGAGCGCAGAUGUUAGCAUCAGAGGCUGUCCCAACGACUAGGUAGUAUAAAGACAUUAUACACAUCACCACAAGCAGCUGGCAGGCUCUACCCUUACAUCUACUUACAGAGGAAUUGUGCGUAUGUGUUGGAGGGAUUCUGAGAGAGAUGGCAUUUUACCUAGAGAAAUGGAGCAUUAGCCAAAGGCACUGUGUAAAUUUAUUAUAUCGGACUAACUAGUUUCCUCACCCUACUCCUCUAUGCAUCCCCAUCGAUAUCCAGAAGAUGCUCACUCAAAAAAAAAAUAAUAAAAGUUAGUUCAUAGACAAAAUAAAGGAAAUGCAUUCCAAAUGCACACCCAAGUGUAGUGGAAAUAAAUUUGCAACCCCAUUACCAACAUAAUACGAGAAAUAUUUGAAGGCAUUCAGUAGCCGGGCUCGGUGGCUCACCCAGCACUUUGGGAGGCCGAGGUGGGCGGGUCACUUGAGGUCAGGAGUUCGAGACCAGACUGGCCAACAUAGUGAAACCCCGUCUCUACUAAAAAUACAAAAAUUAGCCAGGCAUGGUGGCGGGUGCUGAGGCAGGAGAAUCACUUGAACCUGGCAGGUGGAGGUUGCAGUGAGCCAAGAUUAUGCCACUGCACUCCAGCAUUCCAGCCUGGGCAACAGAAACUCUGUCUCAAAAAAAAGAAGAAGAAGGAGAAGGAGGGGAAGAAGAAGAAGAAGGAGAAGAAGAAGAAGAAAGAUGUCAACUUAAAAUCACAAGAUUUAUGAAUUUAUAAAGGAGAACUUGAUUUCUUAUGAUAGGUUGCAACAUUGCAAGCUGAGAAGUGGAGCCUCCGAUUGAUACUGAACACAGACCCCCAGGAACAAAAUAUAACAGAGUAGUGUAAAAGUUUGUCCUCUCCAGCAAUCUCAUGGCAAAAAGGCUCGAAAGCACAACUGUGCAAACACAUUUGAAGACGUCCAUCAUGUCACUUCCACUGAGAUCCCACUGGCGAAAGCAAGUCACAUGGGCACCAUGCAGUGAAGAAGUCCAGGCCAGAAGGAGAGGCCACAUUCACUUCUGAAUAACAGCCUCAGCGAAGGUUCUAGGCCGUCAGCAGCCAACAUCAGCUACAAGACAUGUGAGCAAGCAAGACUGACUCGCCUACUCACUGACUCCAAUCCCAGCCACCGUCUGACUGGAAACUUCUUGAGACCCUGAUAGAACAACCAAGCUAAGCCCAGUCAACAUUCAGAGCCCUGAGAGAUAAUAAUAUUCAAUGAUCAUUGUUGUUUUAAGCCCUAAAUUUUGUUUUCUUUUGGUAGAUGUAGGGUCUCAUCAUGUUGCCCAGACUGGUGUCAAACUUUUGGGUUCAAGUGAUCCUCCGGCCUUGACUUCCCAAAGAGUUGAGAUUAUGGUGUGAGCCACCACACACUCAAUUAAUAAUACUACUGGCUUACUGGUUCUAUUUUUUAUUUUAUUUUAUUUUUUUUUAGACACAGUGUCUUGCUCUGUCACCGAGGUUGUAGUGUAGUGGCACAAUUAUAGCUAACUGCAGCCUUGAACUCCUGGGCUCAGUAAUCCUCCUGCCUCAG
rnacentral:lncRNA from 1 species